rnacentral:lncRNA from 7 species
AUCUUGUGUGUCCUCCUUUGGGCCCGAAGCCACGGAGUAGAGAGCGUCAUAGAAUCACAGAAUCUUUAAGGUUGGAAAAGGCCACUAAGAUCACUGAGUUCAGCCAUCAACCCAACACCACCACGCCCACUAAACCAUGUCCCUCAGUGCCGCUUUCUCUACACACUUCUUGAACACCCCCAGGGGAGUUUGGUGAAUGGCACCUUAUCUCCAGGGUGUGAAAUGACAAGUUCAGGGCCUUACUCAGGUACGCACACGUUCCAUCUCUGCAGCUUCAUGCCAUUUCUAGAACCAGAACAUCCAGGCCCAGCUGUUGGUUUCAGAUGGAGCGCCUCAUUUUCUUUCCACUAAAAUUUUUCAUCCUGCUGUAUGGAACUUGCCACCAGUGCUGGGAGUGGCAAGAUAGAGAUGUCCUAGAAUGCUGUGUCUGGCUUGAGAAGGAAAAAAGAAGAGGCACUUUAAUUUAGCUGUUGCAGGAGGAAUUUUAAUGAGAGCAGAGAGCCCCCACCCACACCAGUGGUGCCUGGAGAGCCCUGCCUGGUGCUCUGGAUUCUCUGCAAAACCCCUCCUGACAGCCCACAACAAAAGGCAUCUCCCACAAGGAAGGGCUUACAAUUUAAUUUAAGUUUUACAGGGUUAUUUUCCUGUGCUUGGAAAUGGGAGGGCAAAUUGGGCUGGGUGAUAGAAAGCCUGUAACUCAUAGCCACAAAGAAAAGCCUGAAAAUAUGGGCUGAUCUGAAAGACUCAGAAGCCGGAAGGAAAAUGAAGACUCUCACAUUUAUUGGACUUAACAUUUUAUCAUUUAGGGUUGGGAAUGGCUGGAUUCAUGAAUUUUGAAUGUUUGGAAGUGCUGUUGUUAUAGCCUACAUCAAAUGCAAGUAGCAAUAAUCAGAUCUGUUUUCUGGAACUCGCAGACAAGGAAGAAAAAAAACACCCUGAAAUUACUUUUAAAUGUGCAAAUGAGAGCUUUUCAAAUGAUCAGAUGAGUAAGAGAGAGAGAGGGAGAGAGAGAAGAGAAUGACGCAAAAUAAAUUUCAAUUGGGGAUGCAAACAGUUUGAUCAUAUAUUCCAGGCAUGUGCGACCAAAGCCGUUACAAUAAACCCUUGAUGCAAAAAUGGAACACGCAGUACAGGUCUGCACAUCCGAUGCUAAAAAUUAGACGCGUUUUUUUGACAGAGGUCUGUCUUAUCACUGCAUUUCAAGGGGUAAACCAAAAUAUGUUAUGCAAUAAAAGCAACAUAUUUAAAUUUUCCAAGGCUCCGAGCUGCAUUUAGCCCUGCAGAUGCAGCAUGCCUGCGUGCACGCCAGCCAGAGCAGGCUGUUGUUGUAAAAUUGGAGCUCUCUCCUUUGCACAUCACUGGUCUAGUUUCGCUGUACUUGUUUUGAAGAUAAAAUAGCCUGUCAGCUGCAGAAAUUAAAGGUAUUUGAACAUUACUUUCACUGUAAUUAAAGAGUCCUUCAGAGAUGUCACACAGGAUGUGCCUGGGAUAUAUCUUCUAUGCCUUCUAAUUGAGUGACUUUUAUAUGUGAUAAUAAUUAAUCUAUCACUUUUUUAAGCUACAUGUUAAAAUAGCUGUAUUCUAACACAUUCUACGUUUUUUCACCAUUGUCACAAAUAAAGCACAUACAGUAGUU